UUUCAAUUUUAGACCCAAUUCCCAGUUCCACCAACAGGCACCAGACAAGGCGGAGCACGGAGGCUCAGCAAGACGUGCGGCGAAAGUCCGUUCUCCCGCCCAUCGGCUUUUCUCGGAUCAAAGGGCGAUGAGAUGUACUGGCAUGACAUUGAGCACUGCCAUCUUCUUGGAAGCACAGGGUUCCAGCUUCUGACGCUUUAAUCACAGCUUUUAUCGGCGGUGCUGAUAAUGGAAAGGGGCAGUUGCUGUGUCUUGAUUGCAGUGUAUGGCUUUCUUGGAUAUCCUGUCAAUUGUUUCCUGGAUAAGUUCCACGAUAACAUGCUUCUCAUACCCUUUCACUUCAGAAAGACUGACCUCCACGUGCUGCAUGGAUAUCUUUACAGAAACU